rnacentral:rRNA from 1 species
GACGAACGCUGGCGGCGUGCUUAACACAUGCCAGUCGAACGAAGAGCGAUGGAAGCUUGCUUCUAUCAAUCUUAGUGGCGAACGGGUGAGUAACGCGUAAUCAACCUGCCCUUCAGAGGGGGACAACAGUUGGAAACGACUGCUAAUACCGCAUACGAUCUAACCUCGGCAUCGAGGAUAGAUGAAAGGUGGCCUCUACAUGUAAGCUAUCACUGAAGGAGGGGAUUGCGUCUGAUUAGCUAGUUGGAGGGGUAACGGCCCACCAAGGCGAUGAUCAGUAGCCGGUCUGAGAGGAUGAACGGCCACAGUGGGACUGAGACACGGCCCAGACUCCUACGGGAGGCAGCAGUGGGGAAUCUUCCGCAAUGGACGAAAGUCUGACGGAGCAACGCCGCGUGAGUGAUGACGGCCUUCGGGUUGUAAAGCUCUGUUAAUCGGGACGAAAGGCCUUCUUGCGAAUAGUUAGAAGGAUUGACGGUACCGGAAUAGAAAGCCACGGCUAACUACGUG